GACGAACGCUGGCGGCGUGCUUAACACAUGCAAGUCGAACGGAAAGGCCCCUUUGGGGGUCCUCGAGUGGCGAACGGGGGAGUAACACGUGAGUAACCUGCCCUUGACUUCGGGAUAACUACAGGAAACUGGGGCUAAUACCGGAUAGGAAUCCUUGCUGCAUGGGGGGGGUUGGAAAGCUUCGGCGGUUUUGGAUGGACUCGCGGCUUAUCAGCUUGUUGGUGGGGUAGUGGCUUACCAAGGCUUUGACGGGUAGCAGGCCUGAGAGGGCGACCGGCCACACUGGGACUGAGGGACGGCCCAGACUCCGACGGGAGGCAGCAGGGGGGAAUAUUGCACAAGGGGCGGCAGCCUGAUGCAGCAAGGCCGCGUGCGGGAGGACGGCCUUAGGGUUGUAAACCGCUUUCAGCAGGGGCGAAGCUUGUGGUGACGGUACCUGCAGAAGAAGCACCGGCUAACUACGUG
rnacentral:rRNA from 1 species